rnacentral:rRNA from 1 species
CCUGGUUGAUCCUGCCAGUAGUAUAUGCUUGUCUCAAUGAAUAAGCCAUGCAUGUCUCAGUGCAAGCCACAUUAAGGUGAAACCGCGAAUGGCUCAUUACAUCAGUUAUGGUUCCUUAGAUCGUACCCACAUUACUUGGAAACUGUGGUAAUUCUAGAGCUAAUACAUGCAAAUAGAGUUUCGACCAGAGAUGGAAGGAAUGCUUUUAUUAGAUCAAAACCAAUCGGUGGCGGGCUUGCCUUGCUCACCGUUUGACUUGGUGACUCUGAAUAACUUUGUGCCGAUCGCACGGUCUAGUACCGGCGACGCAUCUUUCAAAUGUCUGCCUUAUCAACUGUCGAUGGUAGUUUCUGCGACUACCAUGGUUGUUACGGGUAACGGGGAAUCAGGGUUCGAUUCCGGAGAGGGAGCCUGAGAAACGGCUACCACAUCCAAGGAAGGCAGCAGGCGCGCAAAUUACCCACUCCCGGCACGGGGAGGUAGUGACGAAAAAUAACGAUACGGGACUCAUCCGAGGCCCCGUAAUCGGAAUGAGUACACUUUAAAUCCUUUAACGAGGAUCUAUUAGAGGGCCAGUCUGGUGCCAGCAGCCGCGGUAAUUCCAGCUCUAAUAGCGUAUAUUAAAGUUGUUGCGGUUAAAAAGCUCGUAGUUGAAUCUGUGUCCCACACUGUCGGUUCACCGCUCGCGGUGUUCAACUGGCAUGUCUGUGGGACGUCCUACCGGUGGGCUUAGCCCGUAAAAAGGCUGCCCAACUCAAAAUCCUACCAAGGUGCUCUUCACCGAGUGUCGAGGUGGGCCGGUACGUUUACUUUGAACAAAUUAGAGUGCUUAAAGCAGGCUCAUUCGCCUGAAUAUUGUGUGCAUGGAAUAAUGGAAUAGGACCUCGGUUCUAUUUUGUUGGUUUUCGGAAUUCCGAGGUAAUGAUUAAUAGGGACAACUGGGGGCAUUCCUAUUGCGACGUUGGAGGUGAAAUUCUUAGAUCGUCGCAAGACAAAAAGUUAGAGGUUCGAAGGCGAUCAGAUACCGCCCUAGUUCUAACCAUAAACGAUGCCAGCUAGCGAUCCGCCGAAGUUCCUCCGAUGACUCGGCGGACAGCUUCCGGGAAACCAAAGCUUUUGGGUUCCGGGGGAAGUAUGGUUGCAAAGCUGAAACUUAAAGGAAUUGACGGAAGGACACUACAAGGUGUGGAGCCUGCGGAUUAAUUUGACUCAACACGGGAAACCUCACCAGGUCCAGACACCGGAAGGAUUGACAGAUUGAGAGCUCUUUCUUGAUUCGGUGGGUGGUGGUGCAUGGCCGUUCUUAGUUGGUCGAGUGAUUUGUCUGGUUAAUUCUGAUAACGAACGAGACUCUAGCCUGCUAAAUAGACGUACUUUCUGGUAUCGCAAAGACCCUCCGCUUCGGCUUCGGUCGUUGUUGGUUGUGGUUCUCACUACCGGCGUACAAAUAUAUCUUCUUAGAGGGACAGGCGACAUUUAGUCGCACGAAAUUGAGCAAUAACAGGUCUGUGAUGCCCUUAGAUGUUCUGGGCCGCACGCGCGCUACACUGAAGAGAUCAGCAGGUUUUCCUUGGCCGAAAGGUCCGGGUAAUCCGUUGAAGCCUCUUCGUGCUAGGGAUUGGGGCUUGCAAUUCUUCCCCAUGAACGAGGAAUUCCUAGUAAGCGCGAGUCAUAAGCUUGCGUUGAUUAUGUCCCUGCCCUUUGUACACACCGCCCGUCGCUACUACCGAUUGAAUUAUUUAGUGAGGUCUUCGGACCGGUGCUGGGAAGAUAACCAAACUUGAUUAUUUAGAGGAAGUAAAAGUCGUAACAAGGUUUCCGUAGGUGAACCUGCGGAAG